GACGCGCAGUGGCCCCUGGCACAUUCUGCGGUGCUUAGUUGCUCAGUCGGGUCCGACUCUGAGACCUCACGGACUGUAACCCGCCAGGCCUCUCUGUCCAUGAAAUUUUCCAGACAAGAAUACUAGAGAUGAAACUGGGUUCAGAGGAAGAUAGAUAAAGGACUGGCCAAGAUCACACAGCUGGGAAACCAGAGGCAGAAUCUGAAGCUGGAGCCACCGGUGCCCAGAGCCAUGCUCUUUCUACCGCAUUCCACUGGAUGGGACGGAUCAAUGAAAGACCGAGAGGCAGGUGGCUCCCACGGAAGCCUGUGAUGCAGGGGCCACCAUCUUUCUGAUGAACUCCAGACGCCCAGCCCACCUCACCCCACCCCUGGCCCAAGCACCUCCCGGGCGUGGAGGGAAAAGUACUUGAAUACUUCGGAUUCCUGCCCAAAGUCGCUGACCUCCAUGCUUAAUCAUUUGAUUUAAUGGAAACUUACACAGCAGUGAGGCUUGCGGGACGUGGUGGGGCCAGUGUCCAGCAUGCCCCCAGGAGCCAAGAAGAGGACGUCCCGGAAAGGGGACCGGGCCAGAGUGGUGGGGGCCCCGCCCCGGUAAGCGGGCGAGCUGGCUGGCUUGCACACGGCCGCAGGCUCCUCUUGCCGCAGUCACCAGCUCUGACGCCCAAACGCACCUGCUGGGCGCCCUACCUCACUAUGGGCGAAGCGGACGAUCAGCUGAAGGAACUGCCCCUGAGGAUUUCGGCAGAAGGCGCCGGAGGCCCAUUCUUAACUCAAGGGGAGGGACAAAGAAACGAACACUCACGAACACUCCUUACACACACUGCUUUUUUCUGUUACACAGGGAAGAAAUGUGAAAUGAAUAAAUGCCUGAAGGGAUAUGGAUCUACUGAUAUUAAAGUACAUAAGGCACUAUAUUAAGCUCCUUGUAGGUAAAUAAUCUUGCUAAAAUCUCACGAAACACCACAUACCUUCCUUAUCUCCCAUCCUGCUUUUUCUUCAGAGCCCUUAUCACUGACUGACACAUUCCAUAUUUUUUGCCUGUUGACCGUCUGUAUCCACUGCCUGCAUCUUUGGCUCCUCUUGAGCAUGCAGCCACACAGGAGUGAGCCAGGCAGACCUCACCCCAGACUUCCGGGGUCAGGACCAAGGGUGGUCCGCACUGAUCCACAGCAAUGCACAGCGGCCACCUGCUCCACGUUCUGCUCUCCCUUUCGCUCACUUUGCUCUAUUCACACCCACUCUCUAUACGCACACUGGGUAACCCAUGCCUCAGGACCUUUGCACUUGCCAGCCUCCCUGCCUGGAAUACGUAAAGUCUUGCACCUGGUACCUGGGACAUGGUCAGGGCUGCCUCCUCGCAGCUGCCACGUGGGGACCCCUUCUCACCUCAUCUAUAACAUGAGUAGUCUGCACAGCAGCCCCCCUCCCACACAGAGGGAGUGGGGUGUGCCUGGCACGCAGGAGGUCCUUCGUAAUGCCAGCAGGUCUCAAUUUCUGGCUGCUCUCCCUGCUUCUACCUCCAAAUCAUGAUGGGAUGACCCGUGAAAUAUCCAGUGGCCCAAAUAUACACACUUGACUAGGACGGAGUCCAUUCUGAGGGGAACAAAGGGCUCUGUCUGACCCCUGCCUGGUCAAGGAGCCAUGUCUUAGGAAGGAGACGAGCUCCUUGGGCCUGGAUUCUGGUGCGCCCUCCCCUGCUGGGCCAGCAACACCGGGACCCAGAGAGGGGUGGCACCUUGUCCAGCAUCACACAGCGGCUGGCCUGA